rnacentral:rRNA from 1 species
AUUCUUUUAGAUUCGAAGCGGUUAGUGGCGGACUGGUGAGUAACACGUAAGGAACCUGCCUAUUAGAGGGGAAUAACAACGAGAAAUCGUUGCUAAUACCGCAUAAGCUGAUAGUAUCGCAUGAUACAGUCAGAAAAGGAGUAAUCCGCUAAUAGAUGGCCUUGCGUCCGAUUAGCUAGUUGGUGGGGUAACGGCCUACCAAGGCAACGAUCGGUAGCCGAGCUGAGAGGCUCAACGGCCACAUUGGGACUGAGAUACGGCCCAGACUCC